rnacentral:lncRNA from 7 species
GCUUCUCAGUCCACUUCUGCCGCAGCCCCUCUUCUCUCGGUCUAGAGAUCCGUCCGGGCGCGGCAGCCUCGCUUUCGUUUCGGUAAGCAAUCAUACUCGAGCUUGCUUGGAUUCCCUAGUCCGAAGGGCUUUGUUGGCAAUCGAACCCUAAAAUCCUUCUUCUGAUUCGUUCAGUUAGUUGUAGAUUUGUGUGCUGACGGAUGCCCUGCUAAUCCAAUACAUCGAUCCGUGGCCUGUCUAGAUUUUUGUUCUUGAAAACGGGCAAGGUCGACAUGAGUUGACAGUGUACGAGUUCUUGCUUUCUUGUUAUCUAAUCAAGGUGUUGGUGCAGCUUGUUUACCAAAAUUUAGGGGGUCACGUGAAGCCUGUCCCUGCUUCAGGAGGGGCGAAUGUUCCUUCUUCCAAAUUCCCAGUUCGCGAUGUUUUUUCCCCUUAUGGAUGGUCAAUGGUGCAGUAGCUGGCGUCAAAUACUUUUAGAAUAGAGCCUUUUCUAUCUGAUGUACCAAUGCUAGAAUAAAACUCAUUUGUUCAUAACUGGAUCCCUCAAGCAAUAGUAGUUCUUAAUCUUCUACCUUUGUUGAAUUGUGAAAUAUGACACUGUGCUUGCGCUAGUUUGAAGUCCAACCCAGGAGUGAUUAGUGGUGUUCAG